rnacentral:rRNA from 1 species
GACAGAGGGUGCAAACGUUGCUCGGAAUCACUGGGCGUAAAGGGCGUGUAGGCGGGUAGGCAAGUCGGGCGUGAAAUCCCUGAGCUCAACUCAGGAACUGCACUCGAAACUGCUUAUCUUGAGUGCCGGAGAGGAAAGCGGAAUACCUGGUGUAGAGGUGAAAUUCGUAGAUAUCAGGUGGAACACCAGUGGCGAAAGGCGGCUUUCUGGACAGAUACUGACGCUGAGGCGCGAAAGCGUGGGAAGCAAACAGG